AUUUUUCAGCAAGUGCAGCUGUUUCUUGGGUUUACCAGGCAAAGAAGCAAGAGGGGGAGGUGUGCUGGUGCUGGGAAGUACCUGGAUGAAAGACCCAUCGCCUGUCCUGGUGGCCGUGUGCCUCAGCUGAGAUGCUGCUCGGAGGACGCAGAGCGCUGGAGCAGAGCUGCCCUGCCCACCUGGAGCCUACACGUGGGAAUGCAAAUGAGCAUUUAGUCAUCUAAUGCUAUAACGAAAUCCCAUCAGCAUGUGCCAAGUGCUAUCCGAAACCAGUUUCUGUACUGCAACACUUCUGGCCACGUACUGCAGGAAAGACUGGAUGCUCUGUGAGCAAAGAAAGUGAAUGUAACCAUAGCACAGAAUUUAUUUGGGAGCCUGCACGAAGACACAAGGUGUACCAGCUAAACUGAGUGUUUAUAAAGAGGCUGGGAUUCCUCAUUUUAUAAGUGUUUGCGUGGCUUUAAUGGAGAAGGAUUCUAAUGGCUUUUGACACGUGUUAAUGGUGUAUGUCACGUUCUUUAUAUUUUCAUAAUGACAUCUCUAAUUUCUGAUGGCAUGUGUCACAUUGCAUAUAUUUGUUAAAUAUAGGUCACGGGCUAAAAAUAUGCACAAUAUUAACAAACUAUGGAUGAUAACAAUUACAUAUAUCUUCCUCACUGCAGCAAGCUCAAUUCAUCAUAAAUCUAAUUCUGGUGGGUCUUCUAGAAUUCGGUGGGAAAAUGUUUUUAAAGCUUUGUCUUCAAAGAUGGUGGAAAAAAAAAUUAGGCUUUAACAAAGUUGAUGCUGAUGAGAAAAAAGGAGUUCUUUCUCACUGGGGUUGUUCUUAGAAACGGCACCUGUUCCUAGUGUGAGAGUGCUGGAAAAUGCUGAUACAGUAUUGUGGUACUCAUCAAUUUAUAUGGUUUGGCAAAAAACUAGAAACAGCUCCUCUGGGGAGAAUGGGUAAUGGGAGACGCAUGUUUGAGGCUCUUGAAACACAGUGCUCAGCAUUAUGGCUGUGACCUUCAGCACAUGACACGUAGGGUUGGUAUUGCUCUUCUUCAGGAAGGUGUGCAGGGGAUAAGGAACCGUGUUUUACAUCUUACAGUCCAUAUAAAAGCUUGUGAUAUGAAAGUCAGAGGGCCUGAUGGCUUCCAGGUGUUUUACCAAUUCCUCCUGAUGAAUGUGAUUACUCUGUGUAUUUCCUGGGAUGACUGUGUGUAUGUGAGUGCAGGGACACGCUGUCCCAGGAGCACUUUUUUACUCAUCUGAUCGCCUUCUGGUUACUUUCUGGCCUCUGGAUAGAAAUCAUGUAGCCAGAAGUGCACAGAAAAUGCACAAUGUCGGGGCCAGAUGUGUGAAAUCUGAAUGUUGAAAACAUCAGCUCAACAGCUAAUCUCACAGGAGCCCUUCUUGAUGGUGAUGAGAUUUUUAUCUUUGAU